CUCUCAUAGUUAACAGAACAAGGUUGGCCUCAGUCUGACAGGUUUCCUUAUAUAGGUAAACAUGACUCACAUUCCCGUGGAGGGUGGCUGCUUUGAAUCUACCACUUUAACUCUAGAGAUGCCAGAGAGAGGAGCUGUGUAUAAUGCGUGACCUUGCAGAUAACCGUAGCAAUGCAGGAAGCAUGGAAUGUCCAGUCCUAACAGAUUUGGGAGCAACUUGGAUUUCGGAAAUCCGAGAUCUCUUCACUCAGUCGCAAUCUUGAUCGGAGGAGAGUGAUUUCUUCACACCUCGAUUCAAUUGGAUUUGCAGCGAACUUAAAAAAUGACUUAAAAACGAGAUCACUGUAAAAUCUUUCCAGCGAAAGAACGGAUUGGUAGAAGAGUAAAAGCAGUAAAGGUUGUGCCGUCAAAUAGCACUUUCUGUAACCUCAGGAAUGAAAGUCACGGAAACGGCAAUCCUGCCGGAACAACAGGAAAACAGCAACUGUACCACAGAAGACAGCAAAUACCACAGAAGAGACUGAUACAUAAACUAUCCGAUAUCAGAAAUAACAAGUGCUGUCACAUAGAAAAUAGAGAGUUGGAAUUAAUAGUCCUUCUCAGGUUGGAAGAUGGUAACUAGCGGAGUACCACAGGGAUCAGUUCUUGGUUCACUAUUAUUCAUUAUUGACAUUAAUGACCUGAAUGAAGGAACAGCACACAAGGUUUCCAGAUUUGCCGAAGAUAUUAGGAAUGGCUAAUUAAGUUUGAUUAGUAUGAAGUGUUGCAUUUUGGAAGUCAAACUAGGGCAGGUGAAAUGAAAAUAGGUGGAAGGGUAUAUUGUGAUAAGGAUACUAUGAUUCUGCAAUGGGAUAGAAAUAGAUCGAAUGGGCAAAAGAGUUGCAAAUAGAAUUUAACGCGGGGAAAUACGAGGUCAUGGCACUUCGGUAAGAUAAAUCAAAAGAUAGAUUGCUAUCUAAAUGUAUAGAGACUACAGGUGAGUCAAGUAUUGAGUGGAGAAAAA